rnacentral:rRNA from 1 species
UGUAAGCGUAUACCAAAGUUGUUGCAGUUAAAACGCUCGUAGUCGGAAUUUGGCAGUUCCGGAUGUGUGCACGUCGUGUGCGCACUUCGCGGGGAUUGCUUUUGUGGUCUUGCGUAGGAUGAGGCACUUUUAUUAGUGAACGUCCUCACGCAACCACUUUUUACUGUGAGAAAAUCAGAGUGCUCAAAGCAGGCAUUUGCCGUGAAUGUAUUAGCAUGGAAUAAUAGAAUAGGACUUGGUUCUAUUUUGUUGGUUUGUUGGGACUGAGUAAUGAUUAAGAGGGACAGUUGGGGUCAUUUGUAUUUCGGUGCUAGAGGUGAAAUUCUUAGAUUACCGAAAGACAAACUGCUGCGAAAGCGUCUGCCAAGGAUGUUUUCAUUGA